AUGUGGGACGCCGAUCGGUUGAAGAGGCGGGGUUGGGCAAAUUGCGAUCUUUGUCCUCUUUGCAAGAGGGAGCAACAAACUAGGGUACAUGUCUUAUUUAGAUGUCACUACACCAUGAGGCUUUGGCGUUUGGUCAUCGAGAAAUUUGGCCUUGCUCACAUGGACACAUCUACCUGGCACAUUGAAGGCUCCGUCAAGGAAUGUUGGGAUAAGAAAGCCGACAUGCAUAACCCGAAUAGGCGAGCAAUGGCGUCCCUCACCAUGCUUGUCGCUUGAUCUCUCAGGAACGAGAGAAAUACUCGUGUUUUCCGGCACAAAUUUGCACCGCCACCAAUCUUACUGUGCAUGAUUUGUGAGGAGGCAAAAUUUUGGGUUACCAUGGGUUCUAAGAAACUAGCGCAUAUUGUAUUGCAUGAGUAA
rnacentral:rRNA from 1 species